rnacentral:rRNA from 1 species
UACAGAGGUCUCAAGCGUUGUUCGGAUUCAUUGGGCGUAAAGGGUGCGUAGGCGGCGCGGUAAGUCGGGUGUGAAAUCUCGGAGCUUAACUCCGAAACUGCAUUCGAUACUGCCGUGCUUGAGGACUGGAGAGGAGACUGGAAUUCCUGGUGUAGCGGUGAAAUGCGCAGAUAUCAGGAGGAACACCGGUGGCGAAGGCGGGGUCUCUGGGCCUUACCUGACGCGUGAGGCG